rnacentral:rRNA from 1 species
GACGAACGCUGGCGGCGUGCCUAACACAUGCAAGUCGAACGGACAGAACAGGAGAUUUCUUCGCUUUGGUGAGGGGAGAAUGGGGGCGUAACGGGUAGUUAAGCUGCCUUAUACUACCGUAUAAAUUGGAAAAACCUCAGAAAAUCCCAGCUAAUACCCGAUAACACCUGUCCUUUAUUUGAAUGGGGGAAUUGCUGCACCAUUAGCUCUGUCCGCGCCUGAUUAGUUCGUUGGUGAGGUAAUAGCUCACCAAGGCGAGGAUCAGUAGCCGACCUGAGAGGGUGAACGCCCACAUUGGAACUGAGACACGGCCCAAACUCCUACGGGAGGCAGCAGAGGGGAAUGUUCGGAAAUGGGCGAAAGCUUGCCGGAGCAAUGCGGCGUGAGUGAAGAAGGUCUUCGGGUUGUAAAACCCUGUCCUUAUCGAAGAGAGAGUGUUGUAGUAAUUGACAAUACUAGGACGGUAGCUGAGGAGGAAGCCCCGGCUAACUAUGUG